UACGUAGGGUGCAAGCGUUAAUCGGAAUUACUGGGCGUAAGCGUGUGCGCAGGCGGUGAUGUAAGACAGAUGUGAAAUCCCGGGGCUCAACCUCGGAACUGCCUUUGAUACUGACAAUCUCGAGUCCGGAAGAGGUGGGUGGAAUUCCUAGUGUAGAGGUGAAAUUCGUAGAUAUUAGGAAGAACACCGGUGGCGAAGGCGGGUCUCUGGGCCGAUACUGACGCUGAGGAGCGAAAGCAUGGGUAGCGAACAGG
rnacentral:rRNA from 1 species